UGCUGGGAGCACGGUGUAAUUUGGGUGCUGCUGUUUGCUGUGCAGGUGGCUUGCAACGGGGGACUGCCGGGAGCCCGGGAGUGCUGAGGGAGAAACGCCCGCGUCCACCCGCCAGUGCCCGAUGGAGAAGCCUGCUCUGCCCCAUAAGUGCCGGCCGGGGGUGACCUGCSGGGGGGGAGGAAGCUGCGGCAGCACUCGCCGGUCCCCAGAGCGGCAGCGCCCRGAGAGCGGCCCCGGGCAGGAGCAUYGCGUGACGGGCGAGCGGCUGGGCCCGCAGCGGUGCCAGCCGUCCCCGCGGGGCACCCCUUGCCCCCCGGCCGUGGGAAGAAAGGCAGCCCCGAGGCAAGCAGGUGGGUGUCUUUCCUUCUCUUUAGCCAGCGAGGGUUCAAUGUCYCUCCCCAGCUGCCAGGGAGGUCCGAGCAAGGUGUGCAGCAGCCAGCGAGACCCGGGAACCUCUGCCCGUCCAGCUGAACGUGGGUGAGCAGCUUUCUGGAUGGUCUCCAGGGAUUUCUAGUGGUUGUGCAGCCGAGGAGCUCACUGCCCUCGUAAAGAAGUGCAGUGGUGGUCAACAGGCCGUCGAGCAGCGUGGUGCGCUCUGUGUCAGCCCUCCUGCUCCUGAAGCACAGAUGAUGGUGACGGUCCUGCGGUGGAUGGUCAGCACUUACRGGGCCAUGAGGAGCGUCCCUGUCUAAGAGGAGCAGGACUGUGCGGUGUCCCCUUUCCGGGCAGCAGUGCUGAGGCCGAUGUCCUCUGCAGUUUCACGUCCCUUUGCUGGUCAGGGUGGAAGCAGCGCACGCCCUGGCCCGGGCGGCACCGGGGAGGAUGCCGGCACCGCGGGGAGCGACGCUCUGCUCGAGGAAAGCUGGACUCAGGAUGGGAAGAAGAAGAAGAAGAAGUUGUUGUUGUGUGCAGCUGGAGCUUCUUGGAGGAGGGAGCUGCGGAGGCGGCGCCCCGAGAGGGCUUUGGAGGCCUGCCGUGGAGGCUGGGCGGGCUCUCUCUCUCUCUCGCAGGCCAUGGCGUGUGCCYGUCUGUCGGCCUGGCGCCUCCCGGACUCUGCGACGUCGGGUGGAAGUCGUCUGUGUGCAGGGAGCGCUCUGGAGGAGCCAGGCCUGGAGCRGGAAGGCGCCCAGAGGAGGAUCCCGGGGCGCGCCUCGGGGUCUGGGCGGGCUCUCUUUUGCAGGGUGAGCCCAGGGCAGAUGGCCCUGGUSUCUCUGGGACUCUGUGUGUGUGUGUUUGGUGGUGGGACAGGUGCCGGAGGUGUCUGUGCUGCUCCUGGGCUGUGCAGGAAAACACAAAGGAGAGACUGCUGUUAG
rnacentral:lncRNA from 1 species